rnacentral:rRNA from 1 species
UGGGGAAUAUUGGACAAUGGGCGCAAGCCUGAUCCAGCCAUGCCGCGUGAGUGAUGAAGGCCCUAGGGUUGUAAAGCUCUUUCACCGGUGAAGAUAAUGACGGUAACCGGAGAAGAAGCCCCGGCUAACUUCGUGCCAGCAGCCGCGGUAAUACGAAGGGGGCUAGCGUUGUUCGGAUUUACUGGGCGUAAAGCGCACGUAGGCGGACUUUUAAGUCAGGGGUGAAAUCCCGGGGCUCAACCCCGGAACUGCCUUUGAUACUGGAAGUCUUGAGUAUGGUAGAGGUGAGUGGAAUUCCGAGUGUAGAGGUGAAAUUCGUAGAUAUUCGGAGGAACACCAGUGGCGAAGGCGGCUCAUUGGACCAUUACUGACGCUGAGGUGCGAAAGCGUGGGGAGCAAACAGG